rnacentral:lncRNA from 1 species
UGUGACUUAUAUUGUCUUGGACAGUUGGGAAGCCAGACCAAUCUGCCAUUUAGUGUACUGAAGCAUGACAAGAGCUCAAACUCAGCAAACUUCCAAGAUGUGGAGGAUGCACCUGACAGAUGCGUCUUAGAAGAAUCUGAGAGUCCAGACGACAUGAAGGCACAUCCCUGGAUAUCUAAGGUGUGCUCCUGUAAGGUGUGUUAGAAGACCCCACUUAGCUGAAAGAAUACGAAGAUGCCCAAGAGCAGCCAAGACAUAAGAUAAAGGUGGAAUGGACAUGGGAUGGCUUACUGUGGUUAUUAUUUUAUACCUUAAGCACUUCAUUUUCAGAAGAAAUAUCUUCCAUAAUGUCAGCUGUUCUUUGCUGAUUUCCUAAUUCAAUUCACACUUCUCCCACU